AAAAGCGACUCGGGCACAGGGUCAGAUGGAGAUGAGGGCAGCAUGGGCAAGGGGGCGGCGGCGGGAGCGCGAAACAAGAACAGGGCGUACAGAGAAUGAGUACAGAGAAUGAGAAUGAGUAAGAAAGGCAGAGAGAGCUUGAGAAACCAGAAAUGUAGCGAGGUGGAAGAAGGAAGAAGACUUUGGUUAGGACGGGGAGAGGCAGAGAGAGCCAGAGAAACAGAGAGAAUGAAGCGAGGUGGAAGAAGGAAGAAGGCUUUGGUUAGGACGGGGAGAGGUAGAGAGAGCUAGAGAAACCAUUAAUGAAGCAGUGGAAGAGGCGGGAAGAGGUAGAGAGAGCGAAGUGAAAGAAGGAAGAAGGCUUUGGUUAGGACGGGGAGAGGUAGAGAGAGCUAGAGAAACCAUUAAUGAAACAGUGGAAGAGGCGGGAAGAGGUAGAGAGAGCGAAGUGAAAGAAGGAAGAAGGCUUUGGUUAGGACGGGGAAAGUUAGAGAGCGCUAGAGAAACCAGGAUUGAAGCGAAGGAAAGUGGAAAAAGAGAGGAAAGAACAUUUGGGGGCAUGGCAAGGAGAGAUUAAAGCAGCGGGCAAAUGGAAAGUACACAAGAGGGUAGGGGUGGGAAUAUGAGGUAGAAGAGAGGCAGAGGAAGGUGUGAUAGAAGAGGAGGGGAAAAAAAUCAGGGAGGGAAGUACAGGUAAGGGACAGCGGGUUGCAGAGUCAAAGGGAUAGAGAGCAGGGGAGUGAGGAGGAGGGUCAAGAGACGGGGGAAAGUGUGGUAAGGAGAAGAAAAAGGAGGCAGGGAGCUAUAGGCAAAUAAGGAGAUGGAUGAAGGAGGGUAGGAAUAGUGAUUAGAAGGACCAGUGGCGAGGAGGACUGGAAAGGGCGCAAGGACAUAAGAAAGACACAUUGAAAGUUGUAAAAAGGAGGAAAGAUCAUAUGAAAAGAAAGACACAUUGAAAGUUGUAAAAAGGAGGAAAGAUCAUAUGAAAAGAAAGACACAUUGAAGGUUGUAAAAAGGAGGAAAGAUCAUAUGAAAAGAAAGACACAUUGAAGGUUGUAAAAAGAAGGAAAGAUCAUAUGAAAAGAAAGACACAUUGAAAGUUGUAAAAAGAAGGAAAGAUCAUAUGAAAAGAAAGACACAUUGAAGGUUAUAAAAAGGAGGAAAGAUCAUAUGAAAAGAAAGACACAUUGAAAGUUGUAAAAAGGAGGAAAGAUCAUAUGAAAAGAAAGACACAUUGAAGGUUGUAAAAUGGAGGAAAGAUCAUAUGAAAAGAGACACAUUGAAAGUUGUAAAAAGGAGGAAAGAUCAUAUGAAAAGAAAGACACAUUGAAAGUUAUAAAAAGGAGGAAAGAUCAUAUGAAAAGAAAGACACAUUGAAGGUUGUAAAAAGGAGGAAAGAUCAUAUGAAAAGAAAGACACAUUGAAAGUUGUAAAAAGGAGGAAAGAUCAUAUGAAAAGAAAGACACAUUGAAGGUUGUAAAAAGGAGGAAAGAUCAUAUGAAAAGAAACACACAUUGAAAGUUGUAAAAAGGAGGAAAGAUCAUAUGAAAAGAAAGACACAUUGAAAGUUAUAGAAAGAAGGAAAGCUCAUAUUAAACGGGAGAGGCAGAGCAAGGAAAGAGAGAAACGGGAGAAGGGGGUUAAUUAGCGAGGAAAAGGUGAUAAAGUUAAUAAUCAGAUAGAAGUUAACCCGUUGGAUGCGGAUUUCCUACAAGAAGACAUCACCAAGCUAUAGGAAUGAAACAAAAAGUGUCUGCUAUAAUUCAAUGAAGAAAAAUGUAAAGUCAUGCAUUUUGGAAGGGGAUAUCCAGCGUGCCAAUACCACAUAGGAAAUACUCCACUAUCCACUACAGAGGCAGAGAAAGACUUAGGAGUAUAUGUUUUCAGGCUACCAUUGAAGGCGAUAUUCAUGCCAAUCGCAGCGGACGGGUUAAGGGGCAUGUGAUGAAAGGGAUAUGAGGCAAACAAGAGUUAUAGAUAAAAAAAAGGUAAAAGUAGAGUGAGGGCAUACACUUUAGCAACCCGUGGCCAGUGAGGCGGAAAUGUGGGUUAUACGUAUAUAUGGCAAAGAGAAAAGAGAGCAGAGAGGUGAAUAAGAGGUGAGGUAAAGAGGUUAUGGGGCUGCAGUGGUGGCGAUGCAGUGGGUUAGUGAAGGUCGAAGCAGUGAGGGGAGAUUAACCCGUCCGCUGCGAUUGGCACGGAUUUGGCUUUCAUUGGUAGCCUGGUAACAUAUAGUCCCAGGUCCUUCUCUGCCUCUGUGGUGGAUAGAGGAGUGUUUCCCAUGUGGUAUUGCUAUGCUGGAUAUCCCCUCCUAUGGUGCAGGACUUUACAUUUUUCCUCAUUGAAUUGUAGCAGCCACUUUUUGUUCCAUUCCUGUAGCUUGGUGAUGUCUUCUUGUAGGAAAUCCGCGGUCAAGGGGUUAAGGUCGCUAUUCUCAAACGUCUCCGCAUCUCACUUAAACUAUUUCCAAGGACCGAUAAUGGAGGUUGAUCGCGUUCUCAAGUUUUUUUCCCCUUCACAUUCAGGGUACAGGGGGUUAAUGAAGGUCGAAGCAGUAAGGGGAGAUUAAGGUCGCUAUUCUCAAACGUCUCCGUAUCUCACUUAAAUUAUUUUCAAAGACCGAUAAUGGAGGUUGAUCGCGUUCUCAUGUUUUUCCCCUUCACGUUCAUGGUACAGCAGCUUCAUCAGGGUCACAAAACUACAGAAAGAAGGGAGAUUAAGGUCGCUAUUCUCAAACGUCUCCGCCUCUCACUUAUUCCAAGGACCGAUAAUGUAGGUUGAUCGCGUUCUCAAGUUUUUUUCCCCUUCACGUUCAUGGUACAGCAGCUUCAUCAGACUACCAACAAGGUCACAAAACUACAGACAGAAGGGAGAUUAAGGUCGCUAUUCUCAAACGUCUCCACCUCUCACUUAAACAAUUUCCAAAGAACGAUAAUGGAGGUUGAUCGCGUUCUCAUGUUUAUUUUUCCCCUUCACGUUCACGGUACACCAGCUUCAUCAGACUGCCACCAGGGUCACAAAACUACAGAAAGAAAUGCUCACAACUCCUAGGAAAUCCCUGUCGAAUGUGUGUGCUUGAGGACCGAAAUGUUUUAACCCUGUAGCUGCGGUAAUCAUGUUUCUUAAAGGCCCCUCUAAGCGAGAAAAAUGAGAAAAAUCAUCACUCACGCAAACCAUUUCAUAAUAUAUAGCAACGCAUUUGUGAUCAGGUUAUGCAUCAUCUAUUUUUGGGGGGUUUAUUUCAUGGCAAAAAUCUGGCCCGUCGCUGCUACACGGUAAAGCCACAAAUUUGGCCCGUCGCUGCUACACGGUUAAAGGCCCAUCUAAGCGAGAAAAAAUGAGAAAAAAACAUCACUCACGCAAACCAUUUCAUAAUAUAUAUCGACGCAUUUGUGAUCAGGUUAUGCAUCAUCUAUUUUUUUGGGGUUAUAUCAUGGCAGAAAUUUGGCCCGUCGCUGGUACACGGUAAAGCCACAAAUUUGGUCCAUCGCUGCUACCGGGUUAAGAAUAUGGCCCUUGCAGCGGUGUGUGGGCGGGAUCAGGGUAAGAAGGGCGAGGCAGGGGCGGCGGGGGGGAGGGG